rnacentral:lncRNA from 1 species
CUCUAUUUCAUGGUACAUGAGCAUCGUUUUAAUUUUUUUUCAAUUAAUUUAGUAAAACUUCAUAAUAUUUUUUAAAUUGGUGGACUAACCAAUAGAAAAUCGUUAUUCUCUAGAAAAACGGAGAUAACAAAGGUUUCAAAUCUCGUUUACAUUCAUCAUAUGUAAGUGAAGGAUGCAACUAUGCAUUAAAGAAAUAUUUUCAAUUUUUUG